rnacentral:rRNA from 1 species
AGUGAACGCUGGCGGUAGGCCUAACACAUGCAGGUCGAACGGCAGCACAGUAAGAGCUUGCUCUUACGGGUGUCGAGUGUCGGACGGGUGAGGAAUACAUCGGAAUCUACUUUUUCGUGGGGGAUAACGUAGGGAAACUUACGCUAAUACCGCAUACGACCUACGGGUGAAAGCAGGGGAUCUUCGGACCUUGCGCGAUUGAAUGAGCCGAUGUCGGAUUAGCUAGUUGGCGGGGUAAAGGCCCACCAAGGCGACGAUCCGUAGCUGGUCUGAGAGGAUGAUCAGCCACACUGGAACUGAGACACGGUCCAGACUCCUACGGGAGGCAGCAGUGGGGAAUAUUGGACGAUGGGCGCAAGCCUGAUCCAGCCAUACCGCGUGGGUGAAGAAGGCCUUCGGGUUGUAAAGCCCUUUUGUUGGGAAAGAAAAGCAGCAGGUUAAUACCCCGCUGUUCUGACGGUACCCAAAGAAUAAGCACCGGCUAACUUCGUG